GACCCAGUGGUGAAUGGAUCACACCUGCUUUCCAUAAGAACGGUAUAUGAUAUCAGCAGGAGCCCCGGUUCGAUUCCGGGCUGGGUCA